UACGUAGGGGGCAAGCGUUAUCCGGAAUUAUUGGGCGUAAAGAGCUCGUAGGCGGUUUGUCGCGUCGGCUGUGAAAACCCGGGGCUCAACCCCGGGCCUGCAGUCGAUACGGGCAGACUAGAGUGCGGUAGGGGAGACUGGAAUUCCUGGUGUAGCGGUGAAAUGCGCAGAUAUCAGGAGGAACACCGAUGGCGAAGGCAGAUCUCUGGGCCAUUACUGACGCUGAGGAGCGAAAGCGUGGGGAGCGAACAGG
rnacentral:rRNA from 1 species